UUCUACCUUGGUUCCAUGAUCUUCUAUUGUUCAAAGAUCCCUGGGACUUGGCAUGCCACACUCUUAUUGUUGGCAAUCAUUGGGCUAUCUAUAAAACUGGAGUGUAAAAAUUCUCACUAGGGACUUCUUUGACUGGGAUGAUCAGGGGAACAUCCACAACUGGGAUGUUCCUGUAUCUUUUCUGUAUAGAAAUGUGCCACAGCUAGACAAGUGACAAUCAUGGCCUUUGAAAUCAAGGAGAAGAGUGUUGAGCUACAUGUAACAUCAUCUGCAGAACUUGAAGGUUUUCCGUCCUAUACUGUGGCGAUUGAUGUUCUUCAAGCAUUUCAAGAUGAAUGUGACGAUGUGGAUGUCUACCUGUAGGGUAAGUUGGUUGCUUGUGUAUGGAAACCUUGUGGAAACUACUGUCAGACAUGUACAUGUAGUAUGUACAUACAUGUAAGUGGAUUUCAUUUCAUCAAUCUCGUCAGUUGAUGUUGAUGAUUUCCUACCCAACUUACAUGACAAAGAACGUCUGAAGCAAGAAUGGACAGUGCUGAUUGGCAAAAUCAUUGCACAGCAUAUUCCAUCUCUCAAGUGGUUCAGUGAACACAUUCCAGCUAACAUCUCCCAUGCUUACACAACGGAACUCCAGCAGAAGUCCAACAAUAAAACGCCUGAGAAAAAGAAACUGAAGGG